GAGAAAUUCCGCUAUUUUUCAAAUUGCUCUCUAACCGUUGUGAAUUUGGGAAAAAUUUAUAUAUGUCGAGUGAGCAGAUUUGCAGCAGCUUUGAAAUGCCGUAUUAUUUGCCUCAUUCUGAUAAACAUUUGGAAAUGGUCUCGAAAAUAGGACUCAUGUUUUUUUGUAUGAUAUGAAGAAAAAUGGUUUGUAAAACUGCUCUUAAUCCGUGUAGAUUUUGACAUAAGUUUAACUUAGGUUGUGGUCCAUGUGUCGACAACUUUCCAACGGUAUAUUGCAAGACCCAUUUUGACAAUGUCCGCGAAAGUUCAAACUCUCCUUGGAUGAAGUUCAACUACUACUACUACGACAGGUCGGUUAGUUAUUAGUGUGUGUGUGUCUAUAUAUAUAUAUAUAUAUAUAUAUAUAUAUAUGGGCAAAGCAAAGCUAUUGUGUUUCUCUCUAGAGGUGGCAAUCACGAGCACACAUUCUUGUUGGGAUUUGAACCAGUAACUUUCCUUCUUUCCAUUUAUUUCAUUUCGUGUGAUUGAUAGGUAUGUCCUCUUAUAGAUGAAUUAGGACCACGGUCUCCUUGUUAUAGCCCAGUACGCUCGCUACGCAGUUAACCAGUUUUAGCAAAUAAUACUAGCUAGUUACGUCCACAACAUAGGCGAUGAUUCUUGAUGCUAGAUUAAGUUUCGGGGUGUGUGAAAGAAGAGACUUAAUUAAAAGUCUCGUCCCCCACACUAAACUUCGUCAAAUACACAUGACCCCUUAGAAGAUCGUCCAUCUUCAUCACCCUCUUGUGUACACAACGGUUCACUAUUCUCAACUACAGUGAACCCCAAGGAACUGCUAGCAGAUCGUCGACAGUCAGAGUCGGUCGAUUGUCAGAACCUUGUAACAAAGCGACACCAUAUUGUCAACGAAUUGAACCAAAGCAACACUCGAGGAAGCAUAGAAAAAACAUCAACCCUCGAUCACAACCUACACCUACCCAUAUAACUGGUCUUGAUGCGACCGUUGGAAAACGUAGUAGAAAACAAAAAAAUCGCACCUACGCACACCCAAGAUCAAUAUGAAGGUGCAUAAUGGGUUGUGAUCACGAUCAUUACCAUCACGUAGUAGAAAACAAAAAAAUCGCGCCUGUGCACAGCGAAAGAAGAACGUGUUAGUGUAGGUCGUAAUUGGAGUCCCUCGAACCGUCGAUGAACGAUACCGUGAACCGCCCACAAACAGUCCCUCAAACCAAAGACCUAAAGCACGACCUCUCUACUUGGUUGCAAACGUGCAUCCUUCACAAUCCGGUAGCGCUUUGUCGUCCAAAGCUAGUCAUUGCGAGAGAACUGGAGGGACGAGAUUAGAACCACACAGGGCUUCUAAUUAUGAGGAUUAGAGGAUUAGUCUAGCUCUAAUUAGUCAACUAGGAACCACUAGAACUAGAAGAACUAGAGGAGGCUCCAAAACUUGUGUAUGCAAAAGAGCAAAAUCCCCUAGUAUAUGUAGGUUGAAGGGGAGAGGGAGGGCUGCCACCAAGGGGGGAGGAAUCCCCCUUGGUGCGCCGGCCAAGGGGAGGAGUCCUCCUCCCUUUCCCCAAUUUGGCCUCCUACCUUAGGGAAGGAGGCGCCUCCCCCACUUGGGCCUUUGUGCGCCAAGUUUCCUUCCACCUCUUUCCCUUUUAAGGCCCGUUGAUAUCUAUACCUACUAAUAAAUCAAGGUGAUAUUCUUGGUUUGGUCUCGCAUCCAAUCCUACGUUAUGUUGAAAUACACGCGGCAGUACUAAUUCGUAGAGCCAAAUUUUUCGUUAAAAAGGUUUGUAUUGGCUGGGCUGCGUUCCUCCACUUGGGCCUUCACACGUCGUAUUUAUAGCUGGCCAUGGGAAACCCGGCUCGGCCGUCCCGAAAAAGCCCGACCCGACCCAACCUGAUCUUCCCAUGGGCCAGGCCUAGGCCUAAGUUUUUAGCCCAAAGGCUAGGACGAGCUUGGGCUUGACAUAUUCUUGUUUUAGGGAAGAGGCCCCACAGGUUUUUCACCGAUAGCCCUGGCCUGGGCCUGAAAUCUAGGCCUGAGCCGGGCCCGGGCCUAGGUUUUCUACUACGGGCAUUAUUAGGCCUAGUCUGAAGCCCAUCCCGACACGACUUAUGGCCUCGUAUAGUCGUAUCCUAUUGCCUAUACUAUCGAGGCUAGCUACCGUGUUUGUACCCCUAAAAAAAGCUAGUGUGUCUGUGUACAACUUCUUCUAGCUUCUUUAUAUAUGCACAAAUCAAACCCAUCCCACUGGUUCUUCCUGUAUUUGCCUUAUCUUGGUGUCACGGCAAUCGAUCGAAUCUUGGCUUCGCGGCGACGGUGUAACCAGCAUAAGCGAGAUUAGGGACCCGGCGUCGGCAACACACUGUAGCUGAGAGGCGCCACACGGCUACACGCCUAGAUCAUUCAAUCGCCAGGACACCAUGGACAAUGACAGCCAGAUCAUCAACUUCAAAGUUCUCCAGAGUUUUCCUACAAGGGAAGUAGCAGCGGCAGGGACAGGUUCAACAUGUACAUAUCUUCCUGACGACAUUGAUAGUUAGCAGGUAGUGGUACGCGAGCGAGCUCAGCUUUGACACGGCACGCGGUCAAGGUGAAGGACCUUAGGAUAUCCAAGUUCAAGUGUUGCACAAGAUAGAAGCGUUCCUGGUGGCCUACAUCUGGCCCAUCCCAGUGCUUCCUGCCAGCCUCGGCGGCCGCGUCAAUGCGCUCACCGUCAUAGGGAGUUUGGUGACAGAACCUCAACUUUGUGUACAUUGUCCGCUUUGACACCGACGCAGUUGUCAUGAAUCAGGUUCGUCCGACUGAUGCAAAAGUUCAUUUCAAAUUGGAUAAGGUGCUGCUAUACAUCUGGACUCAUGCCGAAACAAUGGAGCGGGGCUUACUUCGAGGCAUCUGCGCUGUCGGUGCAUGGCCGCCUCUGCCAUGACUAUGUGCCGGAGGUUUACCACCUUGACUGGUGGAUACACCCUGCCAUUGAGCUGAGUUAGAUUAUUCUCCCAGGUGUGUCCUGCACCCUUGGCCUUCCUCUUCCGCCUAUGCUCCCUAUCAGUAGUUUCCAAGUCAUUAGUCUCUAUUGUGAUUAAUCCAAGGUGUUGCCAUCACGCAAUAGUUGAACAAUGUUAACCUAUGCAGAUAUGAACCAGCUAUAGAUAUUCCUUCCCACUUUCACAAUCCAGCCUAACCAAUCCUUGGUUCCCAAUUUAGCAACAAUUCAGCAUUGUCCCCCUUUCAGAAUUAGGUCACCACAGUGGUAAUUUUCUUUCACUAAUAAGAUAGGUAAUGUCAUACACGUUUCAUACAAAUUGUACCGUAUGUGUAGGUGCCUUCUAUUUUUUUCAUCUCCCGUUGCAACGCACGGGCAUGUGUGCUAGUUAAAUUAAAUAUACAAUUGUUCUAAAUACUUUCAGACCAUUUCAGAUAUAAUUCAACAUCCCCGGAAACAUGUUAAACCUAUAUAUAUUUAUCGGUAAUACCCGGUAUUACCCCAUACACUCUGAAACCCUUCCGAUGAUCCUGAAACGCUUCCGGAUCUUUUCGGAACUAUUUCCAAUAUUAAUGAAACAAUUCCACAAAUAUAUUCCCAUCAAUCCGUCCUACUAACACUCAACAGAUCGUGAUUUCCUUAAGCUUGUGACCCCGUAGGUUCGGUAACUCAUAGACAUGAAUGAAACCAUUCGUUCAAUGACCGACACCGGAACCGUGGACGUCCAUAUCGAUCCCUAUGAGCACACGAAUGAUAUUCAAGUGAACCUUUGGUUUAUCAUGUGAUGUUCCAUUUGCUUCAUGAUACUUCACAAAACCCGAUAUGUAUUGGUAUCGUCCUGAGUCAUCACCAUCCUCACUAUAUCAAAAUCCUCGUUACCGGUUUUGUUCUUCUUUCUCGUUAUUGUGUUCUGGCAUCCCCGUGACAUAGUCACCUGUAUGUGGCCAAGCGAUGAUGGAUGCUAUCACACCGACAUGGCCCUAAUAACAUAUCUCCAUCAUACCAAAACCAUAUAGAAUUGUUGUAAACAUGGCAUGACUACUUCAUAAAUUAUAGAUACGUUGGAGACGUAUCAGCCACCAUACCUUAACUCAUGCAAUUAUUUAUACCCAUGCAUAUACUAUCAUCUCUCGACUGGUUCGCAACGCUCACUCUUGCCGCUAACAAAGAAAACAGCCCCGCUCACUUGAGAAUGGGCCACAAAGACUCUAAGACGCAGUUGGGCCACAUGUAGAUUGAGCAAGAACCCAGUGCUACUGACGAUGUGCAUCCAUGGGGUGCAAAUUGCAAGACCAAGAUGCACAUGCUUCACUCCAAAACCUAGCUAGGGUGGCAGCGGCUGGCUAGGACGCCAAGAACUAGUGAACAACAUGAUAGUAGACGACAGAUGGGGGCCUCGAGCAAGCAGGUGGUUGGGUGCAACUGUGACUGCCCGAGACCGAUGCUCCAGAUACCUCCCGCUAUUUUUGUUGUGGCCGCAUUAAUUAUUUGGUUGUGGCAUUCAUCAUCGCAUCAUUCGCAUUGCAUCAGCACUCCGUUGCCGUCAUUUUUUCAAAACUUGCAUUCGUCCAUAGUUGCCGCUUCUCUCCAUUGUCUUCAUUUACCGUUCCGAGUCUAACCACACACUUGCACGCGCCAGCGACAUCGUUAAAUAAUUAUUGUCAAAAAGGGAUUAAAACAUUCUCAGAACAGGUUCAAAGUUGGCGUGCGGUCUUAAUAUAUGGUUUUGUAUUGUUCUUUUCAACCUUCACUUCAUUCCUAUCAUUUUUAUCAUUUCAGAGUUUCUUCUUGAAGGUUCUUCAUGGUGGUUUGUGAACGAUUUCUUUCAUUCUCAAAGUGCCCUUCAAGAUUCUCCUCGAAGUUAAGAUCUACCAAGCUAUACUCGAAAAUAAACAUGGUGUUCAACACAUGUUUUGUUUUGAGGAGUUCAAGCAUGUUUCAUCUUCCAUUCAAGUGUGCAAAUCCUUUCUACCUUGUCUUUCGAGCUGAUCUUAUGUCAUUAUUGACAAAUUUCCCUUCGUGUUUCAUGAUUCAUAGGUUGUAAAGAAUGAGAUACUAAACCCACCAUUUUCUCUUUGUUCAGGAGAUCCUUUCAACCCAUCAAUCUCUUCGUUGGAGUUAUCUUGGGUUGAUUUCACCUAAAGCCUUCCCUAAGGAAUGUUGCUAUUGUGGUGCAUAUUUGUGAUCCAGGUUUUCUCUCUAUCCUCUCGGUGAAAGUUUUGCAUCUCUUUGUUGCUCUCAAGCAUCAUAUUUUCAGCAAAUGGCAGGCUUUAACCUCAAAAAUUUAAAAUGUUUCCAUAAGGCAUUUGAAGCAUAUCUGUUGCUUGUUGAUUCUUUCACCAAUUACCUUCAAGUCUUCUUCGCAAGGAUGCUCUUUAAUGUUCUAUUGCGUUAGAAGAUGUUGGUUUCUCCUCCGUUCUUUUCAUCCCAAGUAUCUAACUCAAUUUCUUUUGCUAAGGAAGCAUUGUGUUGGUGCUCUUUCCCAAGUUCCCUCCAUGUUGCCAACUUCAUGUUCUGUCUAUCACUUAUCUUUUAACCAGAGUCACAUACAGUUGCCUCCAUUUUCUCAAGUUCAUGUUCUAUGCCUUUCUUUUCUUCAACCGGAGUGGUUUCAAAUUCUUUCUCAUCCUUGAUGCCAUCUAUUAUCUCUUUGCAACCUCGUCUCACUCAUUUGUCACAUAAGCAGCUUUAUUUUACCUCUUUCUCUUCCUCUUCCUCUUCCUCUUCUCAUUCCUUGAUCUCAGGGAGAGAUCUCUUGUAAGUGGGGGAGAGUUGUGAUAGCCCGAGACCGACGCUCCAGAAGCCUCCCGCUAUUUUCGCUGUAGCCGCAUUAAUUAUUUGGUUGUGCUAUUAAUCAUCACAUCAUUUGCAUUGCAUCGGCACUCCGUUGCCAUCAUUUUUUCAAAACUUGCAUCCGUCCGUACUUGCCACUUCUCUCCGUGGUCUUCAUUGAUCGUUCCGAGUCCAACCACACACUUGCACGUGCCCCAACAUCGUUAAAUAAUUAUUUUCAAAGUGGGAUUAAAAUGUUCUCGGAAUGGGUUGAAAGUUUACGUGUGGUCUUAAUAUUAUGUAGGUAGACCACCUGCCAAAUUUUCUCGCAUUCAAAAGUCGUUUGGUACCCCAACCUUUAAACUAGAGGCACUAUAUGUGGAUAAACAUAGGACGUUUUAAUAAUAAAACGUGUUGCCGGGCUACCCUAUUUCCCUCUCAUCUCGGCCCAACAAAUCUACAUAGCCCACCUAAACCUACCCUAACCACCCUCCGCUCCAAAGCCUUCCGAUUGUGAUCGGAGGGCUAGAAAAACCCCACAAAACCCUCAACCCUCGCCAUCCCUGCCUAUUUAAGCAACCGCUACCCUACCUAAUUUGCAACCCUACCCCUCUUCCGCAUUUUCCAUGCGCAGCCUCUCCACCGCCGCCACUUGUCCACCUUCUCCAUCCUCCAGCCGCCGUGGCCCUGUGAACCGAUCAUGGACCCGCUUGAACCCAUCGGGGCCCGAGCCAGCUCACGCGCCGCCACCAUUAGUGCUCGCCUCCGCAGCUCGCGCCCGAGCUCCUCUCACCAUGCCGCCUGCUCACCCUCGCGGGAGAUCUCCUGUUGACCGAUGAGCUGCCAGAGACCGCAACCGGAACAGGCCGACCUCGCCGCCUCCUCUCCUUUCUCCUCCAUUUCUCUCCAUUUCCACUCUAACCCUCUCUCUAUUGCAGUCAUGGAUAGGCGCCAUGGACGCCACCCAAGCUCGGAGCUCAUGCCGCCACCUUGCCUCGCUGCCGCCUCGGGCCAGAUCCGGCGGCCAUGGCCCCUCCCGCGGCCGGAUCCUGCCCGAUCUGCCCACCUGCGCCGCUCCCCUACUGUUCGUCGACCCCGCCGCCGCGCCGAACCGUCGCCAUGGCCUCUGCUUCGCCCGCUGGUACGCCCUCAUCUCAGGAUCCGCCAAGCCUUCCAACCAAAGAACAUCUGGAACCGCUCCAUCCUAGUUUUCCUGUGAGGUCGAAUUUUUCCUUGUCCUCAGAUUUUUCACAUCAGAUUGCAUUUUGUGAUGAUGGUAACUUUGUGCAUGUUUGUCCGAUGGAAAUGAUCUUUCUAUGAAAACUGAUCUACUCUUUGUGGGCUUAAUGAUGGUUGCAUUUGCAUCCUUCAUAGGAUUCAUCUACAUGUUGUAAUCUCUGUUGCAAAAGUGCAUCAUGUCGUAAUCUACAUAAAAUUGUUAAAACAUUCAAACUUACGUUGAUCCUUGCCACCAAUCCAUAACUCAUAAGCAUAUGAUUCCUUAAGGUGUUUUCCACUAUGAAAUGUUUAUUUUAAUGCGAUGCCCAUGGAUGCCAUGUCAAUUUUCUUUAGCAUGUCUAUUUCUUGCUCUUAAGUGGCUAUCAUGGUAUAAAUACAUUCUUAUUAACACAAAGUUCCAUUUUGUAAAAAUCAUAGUAAUUAAUAAAUUCAUCCUAUGAAUUUGUGCCUAUGAAGUAAAAUGAACAUUGCAAUGUAUAAUGCAUGUACAUAUAUUAUUCAUAAAUAUUGAAAUUGGUUUACUUAAUGUUUAGUGCAUCUCAUUCAGCAUCAUAAUUUUACUGUUUUGGAAAUCCCGGAUUUUCCCGAAGUCCUAGAACUUAGCAAAACAUUGAAUUUUGCAUAAAUCAUAUUAAAUUAACCAUGAUGCCUAUGAACCCGAACCUUAUAUGAAAAUUGUAGCAUGUUCAAGCAACAAUAAAUGCAGAUCCUUUUCAUAUGUUUUAACAACAUGCAUAUUGAUGUUCCGUUGCUCCCAAGUAGGCAUCUUGCUGUUUUGGCAGAUUACAAUCAACACAAGUUGUUCAGGUAUGUGAUAGAUUAUGUUAUAUGUAUCCAGUUUACUUGAUACUGUUCAUGUAAACAUACAUGCAUCUAAAAUUGUAAUUGUUUCAUUCUAGGCAAUGUAUUUGGUUACAGAUAUGGGAACACAUUUGAUUAACUAAAGAAAUGAUGGUUGUGAUCCACUCUUAUAAGAUGCCAAAGCCUUUUGCACCAAAAAUGGCAUUCAGAUACUAAAUAUGGAUGCCAUCUUUAUUAAAUGGGGGAAAAUCAAGAAAAGGUGGGACAAACAGUGUCACUAUUGAUCAUUUCUUCCAUGUGGUGACCUUCUAUGAUGUUAUAGACUCCAUCGCCACAAAGGUUGAUCAUCAUUUUAAUGAGGUAUCUUCAAAGUUGCUCUAGGACUUCUCUUGUCUUGACCAUAGAGACUCGUUUUCUAGGUUCAAUGUGAAAAAGCCUGAGACUCACUUAGAUUUAUCAAGAGUAUUUCUCAUAGUAUGAACGUGAACCUAUAGAAGAUAACCUUGAGUUAUUCAUUAUUCGUACGAGAAGAAUUGAAAACAUGUCAUGAUAUUGCAAGCUUGGCUAGAAAGAUAGUUGAACUUGAAUGAUACAACAUGUUUCCUAUGAUUUAUCUCCUCAUUGAGUUGGCAUUGCUAGUACCAGUAGUGACGAAAACAAUUACAAGAGCCUUCUCAGCAACGAAAAUCCUUAAGACCGAGUUGAGCAACAUGAUGUCCGGUGGUUGGCACUGCUAUUCGGUGGUGUGUUACAUUGAGCGAAGAGGGAUAUUCAAAAGUCUUCAUCAUGGUAAAUUAAGAAAGAUUUUCAAAAAGAUGGUAGGGCAUUACCAUUGCCUGGGUCUUCUAGACAUCAUUGAAAGUUUCAUUAUUGGUAUGUUUUCGAUUAAAGAGUAAAAUUUCUUGCUGUGUUGCGUUAGUGGGAUUUGAUAUGCCUCGUCGAGAAUAGCUAUGUUUUGAACAUGAUUGAGAUUUAUCAUAUUUGGUGAGAACUGCUAAAAAUGGGAUGAUUUCUAUGCAUGUUUAUGAAUCUCGGAGGAUUAUAAACAAAAUCUAACACUAGUGUUUGAUAUUUUUAAUAGCUAGAUACAUAUUUUUUAGUUGUUUGGAUUUACAUCUUUGAGGUUAGCUAUAGUUGGUUUUUUAGCAAAAGCUAUAGUUGGUAAAAUUUAUAAGAAUAAUAUCCCAAAUCAAGGGUAAUUAUUUUGGUAUUGAUUAACAGCUAUACAUGGGCCGAAAAUGUACAAUGGUGGUCUACACGCGUCAUGUACAUCUAUAUGACAAUGAACCCUCAAACAAAUCUCUCUUCUUUUGACAAAAAUAAUCAAUUUAUGAUGUAGCAGUAAUUUGACAACUAAAAAAUGACCCAGGUCAACAAAAAAUGGUCGGGUUUCCGUGGUGCGUGUCAUGAUUUUAAGAUCAACGGUCCAUGCAUGUUGUCAUGAUCCAAUAUUAAUUUAUCGCCAAGAUCUUUGGAGAUUUUCUCUUUUCUAUAGUCACUACUAAUUAUAGGGAUUAAUAAUAUCUAUCUUUAGAGUUGCCGAUGCUCUUUUUAUACUCUAACCUCACAGAUUUCGUUUCACAUCAUAUCCGUACGAGUUUUCCUCGCCUUCGUUGAUCUUAACUAGCAAAUCCUAACCUUAGACACAAGUGGGUAAUAUUUGUCAAGCCGAGUGACACCACGGAGACCAUGGAUGUCAAGUACCACAACGGCUUCGUCAAGAAGGUGAGGCAGGCGGCCAUUGUGCCGGCAGUGGAAGGGGUGAAGUACAAGGAGUGCGGCAGGAAUCAUGCGCUGACUAGUGGUGGGCACGUCGUGGACGGCUGCGGGGAGUGAAUACCGUUGGGGGACCUCAACCUCGCUGACGCGUCGUCAUACAAGUGCACGACAUGCGGAUGACACCACAACUUCCACCGCAAGGUGAUGAUGGAGAGGUCACCGCCGUUGUCGCCCAUAGCAAGAACCGUCAUAGUAGUUGAGCCUAACUGCAAAAAACGCUAACAUAAAAAAACUUGGCAUGGUAGCUGAAAAAUGUCCCUUGGUAGACGAAAAACGUCUAACACUGGUGUGUGAUGCUGGUGGGAGGAGACGGGAAGGUCCGACAGCGGAGGAGAAUGCAUCAGAGGUGUUGUGGCCGUUGGGUUACUUGCGCUUAUUUUUGUGCCUCCAGUUCCUGAAGACGUCCUUACUGAUGCCAUUGUCAUGGCACCUCGCUUCAAUGAUGUCCUUAUCGCGCUUCUCCCGGCGCCACCCUAGGUGCUUCGACAGCUCCUGCAUGCGCAUCUUCUGGUAGGCAGUGAACAUGGUGCGGGACCACUUCCACGCCGACAUAACCACAUGGGGCGGUGGUGCCGUCACCGGCGAGAGCUGGGCGGGGAGCCUCUGGAUCUGCAGUGCCCCCAGCGGGCGGCUGUGUCAUGGAGAAAAGAUGUACGUAGGCAGCUGCUAUGCCAUCGGUGUCGGAGGAUACACAGUUGGAGGCUGAUGUGGUGGGGAGAUGGAGCUCGUCGUCAUACUCCGUGGCAUCCGAGUCAUACUCCGUGCCAUCCGAGUCGGUGUCAGAGUCUGUGACCGGGAGCCAGUCCUCCGGUGUCUGCUCCUCCUCGCGCUACGGCUGGCCAUGGAGUACGAUUGCAGCCAUGGGCGGUAGCAGCAGCAACCUCUCCAUCAUCACCUCGCGGUGCAAGCUGUAGUGGGAGCCACAUGCCGCCCAUUUGUAUGACGAUGCGUCGGUGGGGUUCAGGUCCCCAUACGGCAUCCACUCCCCGCAGCCGUCCACGACUUGCCCACUGGUAGCCAGCGCGUGGUUCCUACUACACUCCUUGUACUUCACCCCUUCCACCGCCAAUGUCACGACCGCCUGCCUCACCUUCUUGACGAAGCCCUUAGGGUACUUGAUGUCCAUGGCCCCCUUGGUAUCACUCGGCUUCACAAAGAUUACCCACUAGUGUCUAAGGCUUGGAUUUACUAGUUAGGAUCAACGAAGGCGAGGAAAACUCGUAAGGAUAGGAUGCGAAACGAAGUCUGUGAGUUUAGGGUAUAAAAAGAGCAACAAUGACUCUAAUGACAGAUAUUAUUAAUCCAUGUAAUUAGUAGUGACUAUAGAAAAGAGAAAAUCUCGAAAGACCGUAGUGAUAAAUUAAUAUUGGAUCAUGACAACGUGCAUGGACCGCUGAUCAUAAAAUCAAGACAGGCACCAUAGAAACCUAACCAUUUUUUGUUUGACCUUGCUCAUUUUUUAGUUCUCAAAUUACUGCUACAUUGUCAAUAGAUUUUUUUGUCAAAAAUAGCUUUUUGCAGGGAUCUUCGUCACAUAGAUGGACAGGACGCGUGUAGACCACCAUUGUACAUUUUUUGCCCAUGUAUAGUUAUUAAUCAAUACAAAAUAUAAUUACCCUGGAUUUGAGAUGUUAUCCUAUAUAACAACCACCCCCACUAAUCUAUUUAUCUUGACAUGCAGCAUAUCGGCCUCAACAUGUAUGCCCCACAUGUGCCACCAUCUGCCACGUCAGCGACUCUUUACAUGCAGCGUUCAGUUACCAAUGUGCAGAACCGACUGUCCACCUGCCUUCUGUCCGUUUCCACUUUCCAGCCAUAAAUCGUGGAUGCCUCUCUCCCUCCCUCGGAAAUAAACACAAACCGAUCGACCUCUCUCCCCCAGAAAAAUUGACGCCAGUUUUCUCCUUGGCUACAGGUGCAGCAGGUCUGCAGGUGGGAGCCGAUCUGUGCAUCAAGGGUCCUCCCAUGGCACGUCCGUUGGUGCUGCUCGCCUCCGCGGUUCUCUAAAAUUCUCUAUGGUAUGAUCCCCCUUGGCCCUUGUAGGUUUGGUGCCAUAUGUGCCCUAGUCCUCCCCUCCCGUGUGUGUCUCUAUUCAGGCUAAGACAGCUUCGGCGUAAUUGGGGAGGUCAGUACCGGCCGGUUCCAAUAGAAUCGGACCAGCUAUAGGUGAGUUUCCAAUCUGAAGAUCGCUUUCUUUUCAUCCUGUAAAGAAUGAAUUGGACGAUGCCGGACAGAGCCUCACCCAUGGCGUGGAGGGGUUAUUAAUACAUAUAUUUGCCUUGAAGGAACGCCCAGUGUACCCGAGUCCAAUCAGGUCACCAUGCCAUCAAAUUUUCAAUAUUUUUCCUUCUCAUGCUAGAGGGAACGCAUUGGUGUGACGAAGCAGGGCCUCAGCCAUGGCGUUGAGGUUUUUCUUUUGGCUUGGAAGGAACGCCCAGUGUGCAGGAGUCCUUUCAUCUCAAUUUAGAACUCUGAUGUUUCUAACAGUAUGCAAGUUUCUAAAUUGCUCCAUUGAAUAGAUUAGUAUACAAAGUGCUCUUCCCAUCAGGUUAUUCUCAGCCAUGGUGUGGAUAUUUUUAUUUUGGCCUAGAAGGAACGCCUAGUGUACAUGUGUCCUUUCCUGUGAAUUUAAAACUAUGAUAUUUCUAUUAGUAUACAAGUUUGUACAUUGCUCCAUUGAGCAGGUUAGCAUACAAAGUGCUCUUCCCAUCAGCUUAUUAUAUAUGUAAGUGCUACAAUUUCAAUCCAUCAUUCGGUAUGCCUUUAAUUGGCAAAGUUUAUGAUAGAUAUAGAAGCAUCCGAAUUUAAUAUCUUCGUAUCUUAAAUAUGUUAGAAUUUUAGCUGCUAUUUUAUUUGUGAAACACAUAUAAGUAGAUUCAUGUUGACCGAUUCAUAUAAUGAUUUGCUAAUGUGGCCAAAUAAGUUAUUUCAUGCAGUACAUUCUGCGUGCUUCUUUACAUAUUGUUGUUAAUUAAUUGCCCUAAGAGAUCUUGAUUUUGCAUUUGUAUAAAUUUUUCUUGCCUGCUGCAUCCUGCCCAUUUGGAGAUGGUAAAAUAACUUAUUAUGGAGCCAAUCUAUUUUGUAAUUGUGCAUGUUUAGUGUUCAGUACAGCUGUUUCAAUACAUUAGGAUACGUCAAUUUUCACAGUCGAAAAAAUACUCUUUAAUGUUUCCCUUAGUUUUGUUACAACAUCUCCAUAAGAUAUACAUGAUUUUGGUUAGUCCAUUCCACAUUUUCUGCCAUAGGUAUUGGAAAUUUAAAUAUGGUUAUUUUGUUGAUGCAAUUCCAAAUUAAUUGCGGUGGUUAUUUGUAUCGAUCCCAAGUCUAACUGAACAUAGUUCCUUUUUGUAGGUAACUUCUGUAGCUAACAUUUAACAUUCAUACUGGUGAGGAUGGUUUCUUCAUAUAUGGAGUGUUAAGGAUAAGACACCGGAUAUCACCGAAACAUAUUACAACAAUUUCAUGCAGCAACGCGCGGGGUAUUAUUUAGUUCUUAUAAAUCUUACCAACUAUAGCUUUUGCUAAAAAAACAACUAUAUAGCUAACCUCAAAGAUGUAAAUCCAAACAACUAAAAAAUAUCAAACCCCGGUGUCAGGUUUUGCUUAUAACCCUUCGAGAUUCAUAAACGAGCAUAAAAAUCAUCCCUUUUUUGUCAUUAAUCACCAACUAUGAUAAGUCUCAAGCAUGUGCAAAACAUAGCCAAAAAUAAUUUCGACGGGGCAUAUCAAAUCCCACUAACGCAACACAGCGAGAAUUCUUACUCAAUAAUGUGAAACAUACCGAUAAUGAAACUUUUAGUGAUGUCUAGAAGACCUAGGAAAUGGCAAUGCCCUGUCAUCUUUCUGAAAAUCAUUCUUAAUUUUGCCACGAUGAAGACUUUUGAAUAUCCCUCCUCGGUCAAUGUAACACACCAUCAAAUAGUUAAGCCAGCCACCGGACAUCAUAUUGCGCAAGUCGGUCUUAAUGAUUUUCGUUGUUGAGAAGGCUCUUUCAAUUAUUGUAGUCACUACUGGUACUAGCAAUGCCAACUCAAUGAGGCGAUAAAUCAUAGGAAACAUGAUGUAUUGUUCUAGUUCAACUAUCUUUUUAUCCAGGCUCUUGAUAAAUCUCUAUGAGUCUCAAGCUUUUUCACAUUGAACCCAGAAAAUGAGUCUCUAGGGUCAAGACAAGAGAAGUUCUAGAGCAGCUCUGAAGAUACCUCAUAAAAAUGAUGAUCAGCCUUUGUGGCGAUGGAGUCUAUAGCAGCAUAGAAGGUGUUCACAUGGAAAAAAUGAUCAAUAGUGACAUUGUUUGUCCCACCUUUUCUUGAUUUUCCCCAUUUAAUAAAGAUGGCAUACAUAUUUAGUAUCUGAAUGCCAUUUUUUGGUGCAAAAGGCUAUAACAUCUUAAAAGAGUGGAUCCCAACCAUCAUUUCUUCAUUCCCAUAUCUGUAACCAAACACAUUGCCUAGAAUGAAACAAUUACAAUUUUGGAUGCAUGUAUGUUUACAUGAACAGAAUAUCAAGCAAACUGGAUACAUAUAACAUAAUCCAUCACAUACCUGAACAACUUAUUCAACAACCAAAACCCAACUUGGACAAGACAACAUGACCAAAUUUAUCAUCCCAUCGGCCGUGCAUAAAAAGAUAUCAACCUAAUGAAUAAGUCAUAUACUUUUGUGCACCAUAUUCCAACCAAACAAAGGCUACAUUACGUAGUUUCACAUAUGAACCAAGAUGUCAUCCAUAUUUGUUUUCCUAAAUCUACAACACAAUCACUACUAACUACAAUUGCAUAAUACAAGUUGUUUAAAAUUCAUAGAAAUAUACCUCUGACUCUCCCCUUUUCCAUUGGCUUUUUCUAGCCCCUUACCUCUCUAUCUUCUGUCGGGUGUUGGCAACAAACACAACAAGGCACUGCACCAUACCGAUCAUGAAGGAUGUGAAGCUUGCUUCCACUACCUGCUCGGCCCCACCCUCAAUCGACACUCGUUGCGCAGUACACCCUACACAGUUGCACCCAACCACCCGCUUGCUCGAGGCCCUUAUUUGUCGUUAACUGUCAUGUUGUGUGAUGGUAUGUGGCGUCCUAGCCCGCCGCCACCCUAGCUAGGUUUUGGAGUGAAGCAUGUGCGUCUCGGUCUUGCGAUUUGCGCCCCAUGCAUGCGCAUCGUCAGUGGCACUGGGUUCUUGCUCAAUCUACAUGUGGCCCAACUGCGUUUUAGAAUCUUAGUGGCCCAUUCUCAGGUGAGCGGGGCUCUUUUGUCUGUUAGAGGCAAGAGUGAGCAUAUGUAGAAAUAAUUGCAUCGUGUUAAGGAAUGGUGGGAACAAGACGUUGCUCACUAGAGUCCUCCGCCGUCGAGUAGAUGGCUAUGCGUCUGAUACGUCUCCAACAUAUCUAUAAUUUUUUAUUGCUCCAUGCUAUAUUAUCUUCUGUUUUGGACAUUAUUGGGCUUUAUUAUUCACUUUUAUAUUAUUUUUGGGACUAACCUAUUAACCGGAGGCCCAGCCCAGAAUUGCUGUUUUUUGCGUAUUUCAGAGUUUUGCAGAAAAAGAAUAUCAAACGGAGUCCAAACGGAAUGAAACCUUCGGGACGUGAUUUUUGGAACGAACAUGAUCCAGGAGACUUGGACCCUACGUCAAGCAACCAACAGGGAAACCACGAGGUAGGGGGGCGCGCCAACCCCCCUAGGGCGCGCCCUCCACCCUCGUGGGCCCCCUGUUGCUCCACCGACGUACUUCUUCCUUCUAUAUAUACCUACGCACCCCCAAACGAUCAGAUACGGAGCCAAAAACCUAAUUCCACCGCCACAACCUUCUGUACCACGAGAUCCCAUUUUGGGGCCUGUUCCGGAGCUCCGCCGAAAGGGGCAUCGAUCACGGAGGGCUUCUACAUCAACACCAUAGCCCCUCCGAUGAAGUGUGAGUAGUUUACCUCAGACCUUCGGGUCCAUAGUUAUUAGCUAGAUGGCUUUCUCUCUUUUUGGAUCUCAAUACAAUGUUUUCCCCCUCUCUCGUGGAGAUCUAUUCGAUGUAAUCUUCUUUUGCGGUGUGUUUGUUGAGACCGAUGAAUUGUGGGUUUAUGAUCAAGUUUAUCUAUGAACAAUAUUUGAAUCUUCUGAAUUCUUUUAUGUAUGAUUGGUUAUCUUUGCAUGUGUCUUCGAAUUAUCAGUUUGGUUUGGCCUACUAGAUUGAUUUUUCUUGCAAUGGGAGAAGUGCUUAGCUUUGGGUUCAAUCUUGCGGUGUCCUUUCCCAGUGACAGUAGGGGCAGCAAGGCACAUAUAGUAUUGUUGCCAUCGAGGAUAACAAGAUGGGUUUUUUAUCAUAUUGCAUGAAUUUAUCCCUCUACAUCAUGUCAUCUUGCUUAAGACGUUACUCUGUUCAUAUGAACUUAAUACUCUAGAUGCAUGCUGGAUAGCGGUCGGUCUGUGGAGUAAUAGUAGUAGAUGAAGGAAGGAGUCGGUCUACUUGUCUCGGACGUGAUGCCUAUAUACAUGAUCAUACCUAGAUAUUCUCAUAACUAUGCUCAAUUCUGUCAAUUGCUCAACAGUAAUUUGUUCACCCACCGUAAAAUACUUAUGCUCUUGAGAGAAGCCACUAGUGAAACCUAUGGCCCCCGGGUCUAUCUUCAUCAUAUUAAUCUUUCAACACUUAGUUAUUUCCUUUGCUUUUAUUUUACUUUGCAUCUUUAUCAACAAAAUUCUAAAAAUAUUAUCCUAUCAUAUCUAUCAGAUCUCACUCUCGUAAGUGACCGUGUAGGGAUUGACAACCCCUUAUCACGUUGGUUGCGAGGAUUUAUUUGUUUUGUGUAGGUGAGAGGGACUCGCGCAUAGCCUCCUACUGGAUUGAUACCUUGGUUCUCAAAAACUGAGGGAAAUACUUACGCUACUUUGCUGCAUCACCCUUUCCUCUUCAAGGGAAAACCAACGCAGUGCUCAAGAGGUAGCAGCGUCUAGCGAACAUUGGGAGAGCCUAUCAAUACUGAUCCACCUCGACGCCACCCCGCCGACAAUCAUCAUCGAGUAGAAGCCGCAACCAGACAUCGGUGAUGAAGAUGGUGGCCGACAACAUAAAGGUGGACGAAGAUGAGGUCUCCGGUAGCCUCUGGACACAAAGGAUCAACAGCUCGUAUACACAAAGGAUCAUGUAGAACAACAUGCGCCGAAGAGGAAUAAGCCCCUUGAAUGGGUGGUGGCCUCCUUAUAGAAGCUGAAGCAACGCUAAAAACCUGACUGCCGGGGAUUUGCAUCUGAAGACCGAAAGUGGGCCUCCAAGAAAGGAGGUUGAGAUGGACGUCUUCCUCUGCAUGCACAGGGAUUUGACAGACUCCCCACUAGUUUGAUUUGUAGAUUUGGUUGAGAAAAUCUUGAACUCAAAUGAGGAGAAAUGAUGCCUGUUCAUUAAAGAAGAAAGAAUAUGCACCUAUUCGAAAGGACCAUGCAUGCUUUUGUUUCUAGGAAACAAAAAAUGAAGCACGAGAUCUCUGUUCAGGGUUUUAUGUGUCUCUGGAUAUCGGGUAGGGAUAAAAUGGCAGGUGAUUAAGGGAUAGGGUAAGGGCAACGAUCCAGUGAGAUCCUAGACACAACCCUUGGCCGACAUCUUGGCACCACCGCGGUGCCAAGAAUAAAAAAGUAUGAAGAAAUCACUCAAAGGGAAGGGGGUUAUUUAGAAGGGCAUGUUCAGGACGAACCCAACAGAAGCCAUCGACGAGAAAGCCCAUGACAAAGACCAUGCUGAGGACGACCAUGAGAGGAGCUUAACGGCGCCUCCACUCACUGAGGAACACCCGGAUCUAUCCAUUAAGGACGCAACCACUCUAAGAAACAAACCUACAACUAUAAAACAGUAGCGGGACCCCCCUCUCACACCUCACCGGUAUGGGGAUGUGACGCCCGGAUAAUUAGGCUACAGUAAUCCCACGUUAAUGAUGCCACGUCACCACCGUUACUGUUGUUAAUCUCACUUCGAUUCAGAUCCCGUCCAAACUCAAAUUUAAAUUGCAAGACAAAAUUUUAUUUCUUCAAAUAAUAGAAUAAAAAUGUUCGUCAGGAUGCAAAUAUUCACCAACUAAUUUUCAUGUUGAAACCAACUUCAUUUGUAUCACAAAUAAACUCCUAGAAAAUUAAUAAGAUGUCCAAUAGAAAUUAAAAUAAGCAAUUAAAUAUAAACCUAAUUAUACUUUUUAAAUGUCCCCAAACUCGUGAGCCACUCCAGAUUUAUUGCCUUUGAUUUAUAUGUGAGAUCUAAUAUGUAACAAAAAAAUCAUUUGAUGUCAAAAGAAAUACAAAACAGUAAAGACAAAUUAGAAAAAACGGAAAAGUAAGAAAAGGAGUAUAACUUACUGGUUGGUCUGGGCCGUAAGUGUACAGUGGUUGCCCAGCCCAACAGGAGACACCUCCUACCGCUCUGCCUGCGUGUCGCCAAGACUGCCCUCGGAUGCCUCUCUACCGGCUGAUGCUCGACGCGUGCUGCUACAGGGGAUCGAGCAGAGGAUAAGAAGGCCCCAGGAACCCUUGACCGAACCCUAGGCCAUCCCUUUCCCCUCGCACCCCACACGCUCUCCCUCCCGAGCUCAGCCGCUCGCUGCCGUCACCGUGUCGACGUCGAUGCCGCGCAAGCUUCCCCAUGGCGCCAGAAGAUGUCCAGGAGACGGGCCUCUUCGUAUUCGUUCUCUACGUGAACCUACUCGAGCUGGAGCACCCUGGAGCCGCCGCCAUCGACCCAUCCCCUUCGGCCAUGGACUCCCGCGCCGCCGUUCGAUCCGUUCGCCUCCGACCACCUCGUGCCACCCCGAGCUCGUCAAUGCGUUCACUGUGAGCUUGCGCACCUCCUCUCCCUCUUCAUCUGCUCACGCGCGUACUCUAGUCGCGGGUUCGUGUAGCACCACCUUCGUCACCGCCGCGGACCACUCCGACCACGCAUGUCCGCGGCCGCCUUCCCCUGACCGUUCCCCGCGCCGCCCUGGCCGCGAGCACGCCGCGACCCGCGCCCCCCUGCGCCUGCCGGCGUGUGCUCGCCGCGGCCCGCACAACCACCUCUUCCCAACCGCGCCCUCUCCUCCUUGUUGCUGAUGCGCCAUGCUCGCCCCGCCUCAGUUGCCUGCUGCCGUCCUAGCCCCCCGCUCCUGGCGUUCCUCCGCCCCCUGCCGCUGCCCCCAAUCUCCCGCUGCUGCUGCCUCCCUCCUGUGUCGGCGCUCUGCUCCUGCGCCCGCGCCGGACGACCCGAGCUCACCGUCCCGCUGCACCCACCGCGCCGUCCGCCGCCCGCGUCCUCCACGGUCCAGACCACGGCCCCGGCCGCGCCAGCGCCAGCCGGCUGCAUCGGUCGCGCCUGCCUGGCCCCCGCUCUGACCUCGCCCCGCUACCGGGCGGGCGGCGGCUUCGCCCGCACUGCCCGUUCGGGUUGCUCCCAGCGCCCGUUAGGCCUUGGGGCCUAUGCCAGGGGACCCCACCCCCAGAACGUUUUUGAUAAAAAAAAGUUAUUAAUUAAAAACAAAUUAAUAGUAAUAAUUAAAAUUAAUUAAUUAAUUAACCCUGAUCAAUUAACCUAAUCAGCUCAUUAAAUUGACUAAUCUGUUAAUUAGACUAACUAACUAGGUUAAUUAGCUAACAACCUAUGACAUGCGGGACCCAUGCGUCAGUUUGACCAAGUCAACUAAUUGUUGACUGCUGACAUCACCCUGAUGUCAUGCUGACGUCAUAAUGGCAUUUUCUUAUUAAAUUAAUUCUGUUAAUUCUAAAAAUAAUUAAAACUUUAGAAAAUCAUAUAAAAUAAUCCGUAACUCGGAUGAAAAAGCUUUGUACAUGAAAGUUGCUCAGAACGACGAGACGAAUCCGGAUACGUAGCCCGCUCAUCCGCCUCACAUCCCUAGCAUAGUGAACCUGCAACAUUUCACCUCCGGUUCAUCUGUCCGAAAAAGCGAAACACCGGGAAUACUUUCCCGGAUGUUUCCCCCUUUCGCCGGUAACACCUACUACCACGUUAGGGCACAUCUAGCACUGCAUUUGUUAUGUUAUGCUUUGUGAUGCUUUGACUGCUCUGUUAUUUAUUGUGUUCCCCCUCCGUUACUUCUUUCCGAUAGACCCCGAGACCGCUGCCGGUACCCCUGUGAUCGACUACAUCGACGACGAACCCUUCUCUUGCCAGAUGAACCAGGCAAGCCCCCCCCCUUGAUCACCAGAUAUCGCCUAUUCUUCUCUAUACUGCUUGCAUUAGAGUAGUGUAGCAUGUUACUGCUUUCCGUUAAUCCUAUCCUGAUGCAUAGCCUGUCAUUGUUGCUACAGUAGUUACCCUUACCUGCUAUCCUACUGCUUAGUAUAGGAUGCUAGUGUUCCAUCAGUGGCCCUACACUCUUGUCCGUCUGCCGUGCUAUACUACUGGGCCGUGAUCACUUCGGGAGGUGAUCACGGGUAUAUACUAUAUACAUUAUAUACAUGACACAUGUGGUGACUAAAGUCGGGUCGGCUCGAGGAGUACCCGCAAGUGAUUCUGAUGAGGGGGCUGAAAGGAUAGGUCGCUCCACCCCGAUAGAGGUGGGCCUGGGUUCCUGACGGCCCCCGACUAUUACUUUAUGGCGGAGCGACAGGGCAGGUUGAGACCGCCUAGGUGAGAGGUGGGCCUGGCCCUGGUCGGCGUUCGCGGAUACUUAACACGCUUAACGAGAUCUUGGUAUUUGAUCUGAGUCUGGCCAUUUGGUCUAUACGCACUAACCAUCUACGCGGGAGUAGUUAUGGGUAUCCCGGCGUCGUGGUAUCAGCCGAAGUUCUUCUUGACGUCAGCGACGGAGCGGCGCGCGCCGGAUUGGACUGGAACGCCUCGCAACGUGCAGGUGUGCAUAGGGCGAUGGGCCCAGACCCCUGCGCGCAUAGGGUUAGACCGGCGUGUUGACCUCUCGGUUGAGCCUAGGUGGGGCUGCGACGCGUUGAUCUUACGAGGCCGGGCAUGACCCAGAAAAGUGUGUCCGGCCAAAUGGGAUCGAGCGUGUUGGGUUAUGUGGUGCACCCCUGCAGGGAAGUUUAUCUAUUCGAAUAGCCGUGUCCCUCGGUAAAAGGACGACGGAGUUAUACCUUGACCUGAUGACAACUAGAACUGGAUACUGAAUAAAAUACACCCUUCCAAGUGCCAGAUACAACCCGGUGAUCGCUCUCUAACAGGGCGACGAGGAGGGGAUCGCCGGGUAGGAUUAUGCUAUGCGAUGCUACUUGGAGGACUUCAAUCUACUCUCUUCUACAUGCUGCAAGAUGGAGAUGGCCAGAAGCGUAGUCUUCGACUGGAAUAGCCAUCCCCCUCUUAUUCUGGCAUUCUGCUGUUCAGUCCACUGAUUUGGCCCUUUACACAUAUACCCAUUGCAUAUGUAGUGUAGCUCCUUGCUUGCGAGUACUUUGGAUGAGUACUCACGGUUGCUUUUCUCCCUCUUUUCCCCCUUGUAUACCUGAUUGUCGCAACCAGAUGCUGGAGUCCAGGAGCUAGAGAUCCCGAGGAUGUUUCUACAUGGAGUUCGGCUUCGAGGAGUAGUUAGGAGGUCCCAGGCAGGAGGCCUUGCCUUUUCGAUCGUUGCUACUUUUGUGCUAGCCUUCUUAAGGCAAACUUGUUUAACUUAUGUCUGUACUCAGAUAUUGUUGCUUCCACUGACUUGUCUAUGAUCGAGCACUUGUAUUCGAGCCCUCGAGGCCCCUGGCUUGUAUUAUGAUGCUUGUAUGACUUAUUUAUGUUGUAGAGUUGUGUUGUGAUAUCUUCCCGUGAGUCCCUGAUCUUGAUCGUACACAUUUGCGUGCAUGAUUAGUGUACGGUCAAAUCGGGGGCGUCACAAGUUGGUAUCAGAGCCAACUGCCUGUAGGAAUCCCCCUUUCCACACUCCUUGGCCGAAGUCGAGUCUAGACAUUACAAAACUUUUACUAACAUGGCUGUGUGUCUUACGGGCCCACGUCGCCAUUGGGUGGUAUUAGGAUCUUUUACUCCUUGCCUAUACUCUGGGACUCUGAUCUCUCUCCUAUUCGGGUUAAGUGAAUUUUGCUAAAUCUAACAUUAGGAUCUCGUUAUCACUUUCACCCGGAGAGCCCCUUAUUACUGAUGAUCGUCUGCUGCACGUGCAGACCCUGAAGAUACCCUCCGCUGAUAACCCGAGAACUUGUGUUCAUCGCUUUUGCAAUUCCCUUUCAUCGAUAAACUCCUAUGGAUAACCACGUAUACUCGCCACUCAUACAAUGUUUCCCAGUUGAUCUUGUUAUUACAAGAUACCCCGAAAUUCUCUCUGUUGCUCCGAGAAUCCUUUGGGCUUACUACCUUGCUGUUCUUUGCCACAUGAAUACCACUAUGGAUAAUUUCUAGCACUCACCGGAUAUUUGCUCAUCCCCAGUUGAUUCAGGUAUUUCACAAUAGUCUUCAAAAUACUAUUCGAUCUUCUGAAAAUCCUCAGGAGCCUAUUGCUCUUGAAAUUCUUGUUUGCUUGCAUUAUGGUUAAUCCCAUAGGUCUCGUAAUCUUAUUGGCAUCUCUUGUCAUGAUCAUUUUGAGUCCGUUGAUUCAAUUUGUUGCGAAUGCUCGCAAUCCUCAAUCAUAUCCUAGAAUUCAUCCUUCCGGCUCAGACGUCAUUUUUAACAUGAGCUGGAUCUCGAGCAAUCAAAUCGUCAUCGAUUGUUCCCCUAAGCCUACUCAACUUAUCCAUCCUUAAUCAGAGCGUUUGCUUCUGAUCCCUUGAAUUUGAAAUUAUAAUUCCUUUGCAUUGAGCUUUGAGUUAGUCAGUUGUUUCUAUAAUCUGAUCUCCUUGCAUUCUUUCUUCCUCUGGUUGAGUACUGAUGCUCACAUCAGAUCCCUUGUGGACCACCAGACCCUUUUGUCGGAUUUUAUCCGACAGUGUCCUCCAUAUUAAAUAAGCUUGUGAGCUUUUCCUCGGAUACAUGAUGCCUUUGGUAAAUUGUAUCCUCUGCUUUGUGAACCAUGCUCUACUUUCGAGCUUGUAUUAUUUACUUCGAAGUUUGUGGUAUAUGUUCCUAAGAUGCCCUGAUGGGUUGAACCUACACCUUCCCUAAUCCGCGUGAACCCGAAAGAUUUCACGGGUCAUACUUAUCUGGUAUUGCAUCAGGUAAAAACUUUCGACAACUAAUGUCAUUAUCAAAAUACGAGAGGCGAAUGGAAGGUUAUGCAUUGAAGAAGUGGGAGUCGACCUUGAACCUUUGUGUUCAUGCCCAUGGACACGAUGUAGAUCCUAUCAUGGAAGCUUCUUAUAAUAAUAACUAUUUCCCUGGUAUAAUAUCAUCUGGUAUAGGUGAAUUGAUCCUUUGCGAUCGUGGUUCCAACCAUGUUCUCCUUUAAAUACCAUUUCCUAUGCAAGUUUAAGUAAUUGUCUUCUAUAGAGCAAUACCCCAAUCCACCCUCUACUUUGAUCUGUCGUCGAGUAUUGCCCCCUGGUAUCUCGAGAUUAUCAUGGAACUGCAUAACUUCUUAUGAGUUCUUCAUCAAGUGCUACAUUCUCACUGAUUCCAAUUUUCCACGGGCUCUGAGUUAUUAGUCACUCGAGAACACCGAUAAGUGAAUCGAUUCCGCACUCCGAUUUAAUAACUCUAAGUAAUUCUUGUUGCUUACGAGUUUAAUAAUCCUUCAAGUCAUUCCUAGCCUUAUCGGCUAUAUCAUUAUCGUGCAAACUUUUUAACUGCGCUACCCGGUCCUUCCCGGAACACAACCUUCGAUGAUGAGCUAAGCUUACGUCGAUCUUCCUCGUCUUAUUAGUUCGCCUUGAACAACAAGCUUGAUUUCAAGUUUGUGUCGUACCCCUGGUUCCAAUAACUUUUCGCUUCAUCAUUCCUUUGACUUGAUGUCAUCGCCGAUCGAUUACCUCUUCAUAAAUUCUCGCUACAAAUGUGUCGUGAACAUCAUCAACAUUCUGAGCUCUUCCAAGAUAUCUAUCGAAUUCUGGAUGAGAAAUACCAUCCUUGCCCUCGAUGAUUUGUUUUAUCAUCGACCAUUUUAUUGCCAUCCAUUCAACACAAACUUGUUCGUGUUUUCUGUUGUACCUUGAUUUCCUUGCUAUCUAGCUUAUGAUAUGUUCUACACUGGAGUAUUACCAUCUUUUAUGUCAAGAAUGUCGUGAGAGUUUCACCACCUCUUAGGAAAUUCUUGAUACAGUGAUGCUUCUCCCCAUCAUCAUUCUUCUCUUGGUCCCCGUGUUGAGUGAACUCUGUUAUGAGAAUUUAAUAUCUCUAGCAACCUUGUUACUUCAGAGUUAAUGGACAAUAAUUCCAAUGUAGUGUGCUGGUUGCUAAAUUUCCAUUCCGACGUUGUUCGUGCAACCCAGCCCAUAUUUCGGGUGCCCCUUUCAACCAAUGUUUAAAUUGUGUAUGUUUUCCUCGAGCAUACAUCAUUAUACCAUUUGAUCUGCCAAAUGUUAUCUCCUUGUUCACAUAGUUGUGGAAAUCCAUCUUUUAUUAAUCUCGAUGAAUUGUCGCUGAUUCCAUCAGCCACCUCCUCAUCCUCUCGUUGGUUUACUGCGGGACUCUUGUUUUGGAACUCGCUUCCAUAGUUCAUUUCCCGAGAAUCUUACAAUGUCAUCUCGUCAUAUGGUGCCACACCUUUUUCUUCUCAGGCAUCCUAAGUCUAAGGUAUCCUGACACCAAUCAGAUCUGAAUCUCCGUCAGAUAUGGUGGUUGGAACAUUUUUCAAGAGUCACAACAUUGGUCUUUAUAUGGCCCGGUAGGGUGAUGACAUGCCUAGCACACUUGGCCGGAGGACCUAUUGUUAUAAGUUUUCCCUUUUAGCAAGGUUAGCUAUUCUUCCAUGAGGAAAUUGUAAGACUUAUUCUAUAAGUUGUUCCUGAUGGAUCCUUUUUGUUUCCAAAGUCUGAUCUUCACCUGUUGACCAUGUCAAUGCUAUCUCGAAGCAUGUCUAUGGUACUCCGAUUUUCAACGGGAACAUUUGAAGCACAAUGCUAAAUGUUUCCUGCGCAAUUAUCCAAACACCGUUGUAUGAGUAAUGUUCAUGAAAUUUCCUUCCCCUUACCUAAAGAGUUUUCUACGUUAUAUCCCGUCAUGGAUAUCACGCUCUGCUUACCCUUGGGAAGAAUAUACCCUUGAAAUAUGUGUUUUAACACAUUUUCCUUUCCAUUCUUCUGUUUAAUCUGAUAAUCAUAUUUUCCUUUCCAUUGUUUGAUUUAACCUUUCUGGUGAUCUAUAUGAUCUAAGCAGUAAUAUUCUCCUGCUUAUGUAAACACCUCGGUGUACAACUCUGUCAGUAAGACCCUGUUACUAUUGUUGGUGACAUUUCGGUAACCACCGAUGGACGAGAACUUUGCCUAAUGGUCCGCCUUGUUUCAACGAGCAGGAAAAUGGUUCUCUUCGUCCCUCGCCCUUGGUACCGACGUUGUUGCCGACAUAAUCGACAGGCUACCCUCUGACAUGUCUUGCUAUCAUGACCGUGCAAGAUGUCACCGUUCCUCCUACUUUGAAACCACAUGGUGGGCCCAUAACCCACAGUUCCACAGGAUCGAAACCUGACUCUUCUAUACAACCCUGUUUCUAAUGGUUAUACCUCACACUUGGCUCCGUAUUUAAUUCGCGGGCCACCUUCCUAGUGAUCUAUUUUGGUAUCAGACACAAUACUUAUUCCGUUGCUCAGAACCCUUCAGGCAUCGAACGAUUGCUUGCCCGCUCGAAACUUCCCCAUGAUACCUCCUUACUUUGCUCUCGAUAUUGUCUUAAAUUUCCAUUCGAGAGUUACUUUCCGCCACCUUCCCCGAUGUUAUCAACCAGAUAGUCAACCGUUCAGAGGUCCGUUCUUCCAGAAUACCCCCCUUACUCUGUCGUAAGUACGAUGGAGUUCCCGAAGAAAGGACGACAACUUUAUCAUGAUGACCUGAAACAGCAGAAUGAAGACAUCAAUGUAAUGGAUCAACCUCUUCGAGAAGAACAACCAAGACCAAGAACGCUCCCUAGAAUUUCGUAACCCGAACUUUCCCCUUUACUUCCCUCUUAAAUCUCGGGACGAGAUUUCUUGUAGUGGAGGAGAAUUGUGACGCCCGGAUAAUUAGGCUACAGUAAUCCCACGUUAAUGAUGCCACGUCACCACCGUUACUGUUGUUAAUCUCACUUCGAUUCAGAUCCCGUCCAAACUCAAAUUUAAAUUGCAAGACAAAUUUUAUUUCUUCAAAUAAUAGAAUAAAAAUGUUCGUCAGGAUGCAAAUAUUCACCAACUAAUUUUCAUGUUGAAACCAACUUCAUUUGUAUCACAAAUAAACUCCUAGAAAAUUAAUAAGAUGUCCAAUAGAAGUUAAAAUAAGCAAUUAAAUAUAAACCUAAUUAUACUUUUUAAAUGUCCCCAAACUCGUGAGCCACUCCAGAUUUAUUGCCUUUGAUUUAUAUGUGAGAUCUAAUAUGUAACAAAAAAAUCAUUUGAUGUCAAAAGAAAUACAAAACAGUAAAGAGAAAUUAGAAAAAACGGAAAAGUAAGAAAAGGAGUAUAACUUACUGGUUGGUCUGGGCCGUAAGUGUACAGUGGUUGCCCAGCCCAACAGGAGACACCUCCUACCGCUCUGCCUGCGUGUCGCCAUGACUGCCCUCGGAUGCCUCUCUACCGGCUGAUGCUCGACGCGUGCUGCUACAGGGGAUCGAGCAGAGGAUAAGAAGGCCCCAGGAACCCUUGACCGAACCCUAGGCCAUCCCUUUCCCCUCGCACCCCACACGCUCUCCCUCCCGAGCUCAGCCGCUCGCUGCCGUCACCGUGUCGACGUCGAUGCCGCGCACCGGAGCUUCCCCAUGGCGCCAGAAGAUGUCCAGGAGACGGGCCUCUUCGUAUUCGUUCUCUAUGUGAACCUACUCGAGUUGGAGCACCCUGGAGCCGCCGCCAUCGACCCAUCCCCUUCGGCCAUGGACUCCCGCGCCGCCGUUCGAUCCGUUCGCCUCCGACCACCUCGUGCCACCCCGAGCUCGUCAAUGCGUUCACUGUGAGCUUGCGCACCUCCUCUCCCUCUUCAUCUGCUCACGCGCGUACUCUAGUCGCGGGUUCGUGUAGCACCACCUUCGUCACCGCCGCGGACCACUCCGACCACGCAUGUCCGCGGCCGCCUUCCCCUGACCGUUCCCCGUGCCGCCCUGUUGCUGAUGCGCCGUGCUCAAUUAACCCUGAUCAAUUAACCUAAUCAGCUAAUUAAAUUAACUAAUCUGUUAAUUAGACUAACUGACUAGGUUAACUAGCUAACAACCUAUGACAUGAGGGACCCAUGCGUCAGUUUGACCAAGUCAACUAAUUGUUGACUGCUGACAUCAACCUGAUGUCAUGCUGACGUCAUAAUGGCAUUUUCUUAUUAAAUUAAUUCUGUUAAUUCUAAAAAUAAUUAAAACUUUAGAAAAUCAUAUAAAAUAAUCCGUAACUCGGAUGAAAAAACUGUGUACAUGAAAGUUGUUCAGAACGACAAGACGAAUCCGGAUACGUAGCCCGCUCAUCCGCCACACAUCCCUAGCAUAGUGAACCUGCAACAUUUUACCUCCGGUUCAUCUGUCCGAAAACGCGAAACACCGGGAAUACUUUCCCGGAUGUUUCCCCCUUUCGCCGGUAUCACCUACUACCACGUUAGGGCACAUCUAGCACUGCGUUUGUUAUGUUAUGCUUUGUGAUGCUUUGAUUGCUCUGUUAUUUAUUGUGUUCCCCCUCCGUUACUUCUUUGCGGUAGACCCCGAGACCGCUGCCGGUACCCCUGUGAUCGACUACAUCGACGACGAACCCUUCUCUUGCCAGAUGAACCAGGCAAGCCCCCCCCCCCUUGAUCACCAGAUAUCGCCUAUUCUUCUCUAUACUGCUUGCAUUAGAGUAGUGUAGCAUGUUACUGCUUUCCGUUAAUCCUAUCCUGAUGCAUAGCCUGUCAUUGUUGCUACAGUAGUUACCCUUACCUGCUAUCCUACUGCUUAGUAUAGGAUGCUAGUGUUCCAUCAGUGGCCCUACACUCUUGUCCGUCUGCCGUGCUAUACUACUGGGCCGUGAUCACUUCGGGAGGUGAUCACGGGUAUAUACUAUAUACAUUAUAUACAUGACACAUGUGGUGACUAAAGUCGGGUCGGCUCGAGGAGUACCCGCAAGUGAUUCUGAUGAGGGGGCUGAAAGGACAUGUGGCUCCACCCCGGUAGAGGUGGGCCUGGGUUCCUGACGGCCCCCGACUGUUACUUUAUGGCGGAGCGAUAGGGCAGGUUUAGACCGCCUAGGUGAGAGGUGGGCCUGGCCCUAGUCGGCGUUCGCGGAUACUUUACACGCUUAACGAGAUCUUGGUAUUUGAUCUGAGUCUGGCCAUUUGGUUUAUACGCACUAACCAUCUACGCGGGAGUAGUUAUGGGUAUCCCGGCGUCGUGGUAUCAGCCGAAGUUCUUCUUGACGUCAGCGACGGAGCGGCGCGCGCCGGAUUGGACUGGAACGCCUGCUAGGCUAGGUCUGCUUCCAGCCGCCCUCGCAACGUGCAGGUGUGCAUAGGGCGAUGGGCCCAGACCCCUGCGCGCAUAGGGUUAGACCGGCAUGUUGACCUCUCGGUUGAGCCUAGGUGGGGCUGUGACGCGUUGAUCUUACGAGGCCGGGCAUGACCCAGAAAAGUGUGUCCGGCCAAAUGGGAUCGAGCGUGUUGGGUUAUGUGGUGCACCCCUGCAGGGAAGUUUAUCUAUUCGAAUAGCCGUGUCCCUCGGUAAAAGGACGACCCGGAGUUGUACCUUGACCUUAUGACAACUAGAACUGGAUACUAAAUAAAAGACACCCUUCCAAGUGCCAGAUACAACCCGGUGAUCGCUCUCUAACAGGGCGACAAGGAGGGGAUCGCCGGGUAGGAUUAUGCUAUGCGAUGCUACUUGGAGGACUUCAAUCUACUCUCUUCUACAUGCUGCAAGAUGGAGAUGGCCAGAAGCGUAGUCUUCGACUGGAAUAGCUAUCCCCCUCUUAUUCUGGCAUUCUGCAGUUCAGUCCACUGAUUUGGCCCUUUACACAUAUACCCAUUGCAUAUGUAGUGUAGCUCCUUGCUUGCGAGUACUUUGGAUGAGUACUCACGGUUGCUUUUCUCCCUCUUUUCCCCCUUGUAUACCUGAUUGUCGCAACCAGAUGCUGGAGUCCAGGAGCCAAAGAUCCCGAGGAUGUUUCUACAUGGAGUUCGGCUUCGAGGAGUAGUUAGGAGGUCGCAGGCAGGAGGCCUUGCCUUUUCGAUCGUUGCUACUUUUGUGCUAGCCUUCUUAAGGCAAACUUGUUUAACUUAUGUCUGUACUCAGAUAUUGUUGCUUCCGCUGACUCGUCUAUGAUCGAGCACUUGUAUUCGAGCCCUCGAGGCCCCUGGCUUGUAUUAUGAUGCUUGUAUGACUUAUUUAUGUUGUAGAGUUGUGUUGUGAUAUCUUCCCGUGAGUCCCUGAUCUUGAUCGUACACAUUUGCGUGCAUGAUUAGUGUACGGUCAAAUCGGGGGCGUCACAGGGGAGGAGGAUAAUUUCAAGAGGGUUGUGGAGGAGAGAGGCAGAGAGAACAAGGCGAGAGGGGGUUGAGGUGCUUGUGAGCUAUGUUUGACCUCGAUCUGUUUUAGAUGUCAAUUUACAUCGUCGGUAAGAUAGACACGACGCGUGUACAUGCAUCUAUUGCCAAGUAUAGUUGCUAAUCAAUACAAUGGCAUGGCAGUAAAUAUUUUUGAUUGAUUCCCAAUUUGAGAUGUAACUAGACAAACAAGUCCUAUAAAUUGUUCUUCAAUACUUGAGUUGUAACUCGGGUCAUUACAUAGUCAAGAAACACGUAAAUCAUUCUUGUUCAAUUUUACUACUAUAGCUAAUCUAAAAGACGUAAAACCCAAAAAAUAACAAAUAUGUAUCUAAAAUAUAAAAUUGUGAACUGAGCAUAGCUCAGAUGGUUAGUUCCUUGUGGUGGAAUUAGCCCGCCAGGGUUCAAGUCCUACACUUAGCACCCGUGCUCGCAUUUUUCUAGAUUUAUUUCAAGUCUCCUCGCGAUGUUCAUUUUGUGGGAGGGGACAUUUCCAUUGAGUAUGAAGCGCCAGUGGUGACUUCAUCGAUCUCAAGAUUUUGUGUCUCGGUAUUUUGAAGGUGCUCAUAGAAAUAGGUUGUGCGUACAUGGAUUCAUAUGGGUGAGUAUAUGUGCACAUGUGGUUGUCCUAUGUUAAAAAGAUCGUACCACGGUCAUAUUUUGCUUAUAACCAUCUUAGGUUCAUAUGUGAAGCAUAUAAAUCUUUUUUAUCAAUUAUCACCAACUAUGAUAAAUCUCAAGCAUGUACAAAACAUAGCCUAAAAUAUUUUCCACGAGCCAUAUCAAACACCAAUAAAGGAGCACAACAAGAAUUUUUACUGAUCUUGGAUUUUAAACAUCUUUUGUAUUGUCUAAUACUCAUCCGUUUUGUAAUGUAGUGUGUUAGUUUUUUUGAAAAGUCAAACUUUGCAAACUUUGACCAAGUUUGUAGAGAAAACUAUUUAUAUCUACAAUAUCAAAUAUAUAAAAUAUGAAACUACAUCUUAUGUUGAAUCUAAUGAUAUAUGUUUGACAUUUUAGAUGUAAAUGUUUUUCUCCAUAAACUUGGUGAAAGUUUGUGAAAUUUUACUUUUCAAAAAAAAAGCACUACAUUAUGGAAUAGAGGGAGUACGUGUAAAGGAAUGUGUAACCCAUAUAUUUUAUCCUAUGUCACAAACUGAGCCAUGACAUGGCAUAAUGGCAUACAACAUUUGUUCACCGGCUUAAUUCAGAAAACUCAAAACCAUAAUGCAUCAUUAGUUUUUUCUUGAUCAUUGAAUUAGAGUUGUCAUUUGCAUCAUGAGAUAAGAUAAGUUAAGUUUUUAUCAUUGGCACUAGUUAAAGAAAUUCUUAGAUACAUAACUCUAUAACUUUGUGGCCUUUGGCUAUAUAAUAUCUUGAAAUGACAAUGCAAGCUCUUUUAAUUAUGGUCGGACAGCCAAUAGUCGUGUAGAUUAUUGGUGUUAGUUGUGGCUAAGGAAAGCAAAAUCUCAAAAUUAUACAAGGGAUAUGAAUAAAAUAAUUGCCUCUCGUUUUUUGGAAAAUGCCAAACCACACCACAAUGAUCAAUUUUGCUUGACCGUGUAUCCGGGUUAUUCAUUUAUCAUCAAAUAAUCAAGAAAGGUUUGAGUCUAUUUUUAAUCAAUUGCCCGAUGAAAUUUUUAAAACGAUAGCAAAUCAUAUAAUACCACCAGGAUAUAUGUGUACUAUUAAAAAUGUUAUUCGUGAGAAAUAUUAAUCAUUUUUGUUGAGAAAAUGUCACAAUGUAUAACUAGGGAAGAAUGUUAAUCACGUGACUAGUUAGUGGCUAACUAAUCGCAUCUUCAUCUCCUAUUGCAUGACUACUAAUUGGUAUCUUUAGAAAAUAACUAAUGUGUCAAAGCUACUAGUGUAUACAUGUCCAUCUCCUCUUGAAUCACUGAUGAUUUGUAUCUUUAGAAACUAACUAAUGCAUCCUAGUUUCUGUAGUUUUCGUGCUCGGAUACACCUGCACCAAGCCAUACCAUGACUGCAUCCAUCAGUUACAAAUAUGCACUAUCUCCUAUCCAACUACACGGCUGGCAUUUGCUAGCUAGAACUCAUUAGCUUAUAAAGGUAUACUAUUAAUUUCUCAAUAUAUACAUGAUUAAUUUCUCAAGAUUUACCAUAAAUAUAUACGCAUUUAUUUGGAGAUUCCUUAUUAUGACCUGGAUUUAUCUCAAGAGAGAACUCAUAUAUAUAGGAAAAUAGUUGUAUCUAUCAAAUUGUUGAGUAUGUACGCGUAGUAUGUAGUAUAUAAGAAUGUUUAGGUAGUAUGUAUCAUAUUUUGAGUAUGCUUCUUUUUACGUACAAAUAUGUACAUAUUUCACAAAUAUAAUAAAAACAAUGGGUCAACUUGCAGUUUUUCCAUGUAACUUACUUUGAAGUAUCUUAUAUAUAGUGCAUAAACAUGCUUAUAAUGAUAAAGUAGUAUAUAUAUUUUACUGCAUAAUAGUAUAUGAGAAAUGAGGGUAACUAACCCCAGGUGGUAGGAUGUACUUUCNNNNNNNNNNNNNNNNNNNNNNNNNNNNNNNNNNNNNNNNNNNNNNNNNNNNNNNNNNNNNNNNNNNNNNNNNNNNNNNNNNNNNNNNNNNNNNNNNNNNNNNNNNNNNNNNNNNNNNNNNNNNNNNNNNNNNNNNNNNNNNNNNNNNNNNNNNNNNNNNNNNNNNNNNNNNNNNNNNNNNNNNNNNNNNNNNNNNNNNNNNNNNNNNNNNNNNNNNNNNNNNNNNNNNNNNNNNNNNNNNNNNNNNNNNNNNNNNNNNNNNNNNNNNNNNNNNNNNNNNNNNNNNNNNNNNNNNNNNNNNNNNNNNNNNNNNNNNNNNNNNNNNNNNNNNNNNNNNNNNNNNNNNNNNNNNNNNNNNNNNNNNNNNNNNNNNNNNNNNNNNNNNNNNNNNNNNNNNNNNNNNNNNNNNNNNNNNNNNNNNNNNNNNNNNNNNNNNNNNNNNNNNNNNNNNNNNNNNNNNNNNNNNNNNNNNNNNNNNNNNNNNNNNNNNNNNNNNNNNNNNNNNNNNNNNNNNNNNNNNNNNNNNNNNNNNNNNNNNUAGAAUAACUAUUUGGAUCACGGUGAGCUAUAUAGGGCCCGAUGGAUGUUCCUGAGAUCCGAAAAUUCCACCAAACAGAAAAAUAAAAUAAUCCCCACGUACCUCCCCACGCCCCCACUUCCUCCCUGAUCCAGCCACCAUCCCCACGCCCCCACUCCCUCUCCCAUCCAGCCACCCACCAUCAUCGGCGUCGGCCCACCACCGCCUCGGGAAUCGGCCGCCGUGCCGCCACCGCUAAGAGAACCGGCCACCGCUUCCUUCCCUUACCGCGCCGCCGCCGCUUCCCUCCCCGGACUGCGCCACCGCCGCCGUGACCCUCCAUGGAUCAUGCCACCGCCGCCUCCCUCCCCGGAUUGUGCCGCCACCGUCCGCCGCUAGCUACCGCUGCCUGUGCAGUCCUUCGCUAGUUGCCGCUGCAGUCCACCGCUAGCUCUCGCGGGGGAGGCAGUGCUGCUCCGGCUACCCAUGCGUCACCGGCUGCCGCCGCGAACGGCGUCCGAACGCCAUCACGUACCGCCCCUCGGCGCCGCCUCUAGCGCGUACCUACUACAGCCUCGGGACAAACCUCUUCCACGCGGGCGACUGGUCGCUCAAACUUCCCCUCGCCGGCCGUCGUGGGCCUCUGUAUCCUCUCAUGGCGGCUCCUCCCCUGUGGCACAAGCAAGGUCAACUGCGGAUCAACGAAAGAAAUAGCGCGCUACAAAAUAUAGCGAGGCCCUUAUCCAAAUGCUACACAAGUUAUAGCGUGCUAUAUUUCAAAAUAACGUUUGCAAAAAAAUUCAAAUAUAUCUAGAAAUAAAGUAUUUAAGCAACUAAAUUUUUGCUAGGAGCAAGCAAUAUAUGCAUAAGGGCCAAAUCUAGGACAUAAAAAUUGGAAGUCUCAAACAGUUUCAAGAUAAAAAGAGUGAGAAAGGUAGUGGUCGUGGGUUGGUUUUGGCCUGCUGGGCUGUGGUUGUUUAAAUUUUGCAUGGUCUGCACGUUAAAACGUGUAACGCUACAACGUUAUAGCGUGUGUAGCGCGCUAAUUACGCAAUUAGCGCCGUAGCGGCCGAUUUUGCCAAAACGUAACGUCACCCUUCCGAAUAUGCUAUAACCGCGCUAUAACGGCGAAAUAGUGUGCUAUUUUUUUCGUUGCUGCGGAUGGAUGAGACUCAAAAAAUGGUGGUACGUACUGGAAAAUACUCCUGGCAUACCCAUGUCGUUGGCAGCAAAAGGUAUUUCAGUUACUAGUUCUUCCAUAUGCUAGAGGAAUUUCUUUCAGCCCACCUUGAGCAGAGCUCGUGGCAUCAAUUCUUUAUUGUUUCUGUGUGAAAAUUUAUGAGCAGGAAGGAAUAGUUCUGCCCGAUGAGCAGUUCCAAUUGAGUUCUCCCUAUAGAUAGUUUGACUUUUAUUUCCAAGCAUUAAGUUGUCCUAGAUAUUUGAUUGGUACUCCACCUUGCAAGCAAGGAUGCUCUGAAAAUGAAACACGUGAUGUUUGAUACACCUUGGUACACCACGACUCAAGCUCUCUGUAUUUUUUGUUAAAGGUCAUCGGGCUGGGCACCGGCUGCUUAUGUGUUGUACGCCUUGGCGUCCCUGUGCUGGUGAUGAGCGUGAUGGCCGUGCAUUGACCUGCAUCGCCUGUCCGAACUGUGCCGGCCAUGCGUCCGACGACCUCAUCCAUCCCUGAUCACCUCUUCCACGCAAUCGGCCGCACAUACACAGACAUGCCUGUGCUGUAUUAUACUUGAACUUCAGAGCUUCUGAACUCUCUGUAUCGGUGUGCAUGUUUUCAUAUUGUGUCAUUGCAUAGCUCCACCACUGAAUUUGGAAAUUCAGUCAAUGCUUAAACUUGAUAAAAAAGAGCAAGAAACAGCGACAGGUUAUGUGUGUUUUUCACGGAAGUGAGCUGGGAAUUUAGAUGUUCCUUUUCAUAAUAUUAAGGGCAUCGAUCAUUCAACUAUUUAUGUUAUCCUUCGUGCUCUGACUUGAGUGAAGUUAUGUGAACUAGCAUAGUAUAUUGUAAUUUUCUGAUUUUGAGUCAUGGCAUAUAGUCCUCACACAAAGUAGUUGCAAAUAUAUUGAAGUAUAUUAUGCACAUAGUUAUCCUCCCUAAUGCCUAAACUGGUACCUUUUCAAUCUUUGUGCUGACUACUAAACAUAAUUAUUGUAGGUCUUCCCUGACCCAUGGUCACGCGAAAGCAGUGCUACUCCGGCAAGCUCCUCUGUCCCCCAAGCACAGUGUUGUCCAUGACGGUCUCCUCCCUCAUGUUUCCUCAGCGAGGAUGAUGUCAAUUUUUUGCGAAACAAAAAGUUAUGUAGUUCUUCAGUAUAUGUCCAUAGAAACCUAUGACAAUUUCUUCAGUAGCAGUUCAACAAAAAAUCCUGUUGUAGUUCUUGAGUAUUGUUCCAUUAGAAUUUCAUGUUAUCUAAGUAUUUUUAGUACUUGCUAUUGCAGAUAAGUGUUUGUUAGAAUUGACAUUCUGUCAGUAAAGUACCAUUCUUCAGUAUAUGUUCUGAAAAUUUCAUCUUUUGUGUGCCUGGUGUGAAUCGUUGGUCAUCUCUCACUUUUGCUCCUGAAUUAGAGGUAGCAUGUUGAUUUUCGCACUUGAUGAAGAACAUAUCCUAAAAUGCGAAAAAAAUUGUUCGCCAAUGUAUAAUUUAUUGUUCGUAAAGAUCUAUUUUCUUCCAGAGUGAUGAAGUUUUGCUCCUAAACAAAGAACUUUAUUUUGGUCCUAAAUGAGGAGGUAGUAUAGGGAACUACAUGUACGUGUUUUUCCAAAAACUUUCUUAAACCAUUUUUGAUGAAGUAUAGGGAACUUCAUGUACGUGUUACUCCCAAAACGAUAUGAAACUUUGUAUGUACAAUUUUUUAAUAUACCAUAUUGAUUGAGAACUAAAAAGGGCAUGCUUUUUUAAUAAUCUAGAAGUUCAACGACUUCCACCUAGAAAGUUCAAAAGACAUUAUUUUUGAGGGAGAACACAUCCUGCCUAGAUGAUGCAUAUGGAAUAAAAUGUAAAUUCGCAAUGAAGUUCAUAUAUAAAAAAAGUUUAAGUUUGCUUAGAGGAAAAGGUGCAUUUCUGAAAAAAGGUACAUGUUUUCUAAUUCCAGAUGCUUAUAUGGUUGUCCUGUGACACUGAAAUCUUUUUCAUUUUAGGUGAGCCAAAUUUUUGUGUGGAUGUGCUGUGCAUGUGCUUGUGCGUAGUACACUGAAUAGAACAAAAAGAAUAUUAGGGGUGCCCUCUAAAUGUUUGUCCUACUGCUUAGUAGAAUUGACCCAAAAUUUCCUAUUGUUUUUGCACAUGUUGGAUUCAAGGGAAAAAGUGUAUAAAAAAGCUGUGAUUUCGAAAGUUCAGGUGUAACGAACAUUGAAGUUCAAACCAAUAAAAUGUAAAAAAAAAUCAUGGAAUUCAAAGAAUAAAAACUAUGGAGUUCAUGAAAAAAAAAAUAACACCCGAAGUUCAUGUUUCAGAAAUUCCGAAGUUCACGUGUACCACGUACAGAAGAAAAAUCAUCAAAUGAAAAACGGGACCGCCCAGGCCAUUUCACCGAAAAGCAAAAAAUGCAUAAAAAAAUGUCACGACAAAAUUCUAUAAGAAGUUCAAAUUUAAAAACCGAAGCAGGUCAAUGUUAAAAAUAUGAAGUUGUUAAUAUCUAAAAGACAAAUUUGGAAGUUCAAAAAAUUUGAGCAAGAAGUUAAAAAAAGUAGUUCAAAAAUCUUUAUAACGGAUUUUCCCCAUUUGUAAAAAAACAGAGAAGUUCAAAUAAAAAAGAGGAGCAUUUCAAAAGAUUGUAUGAAAAAUGAUUUUCCCCAUUUUAUAAAAACUAGAAGUUCAAAUUAAAAUAACGGUGCGGUAUCAUUGUUUAUAUAAAAAAAGCAUUUUCCCCGUUACUAACCAAAAAUCUAAGAAGUUCAGAUUUAAAAAAGGGUGAAGUUCGAUGUCCAUAGAAAAUCGCAUUUUUCACAUUAUUAAAAAAUAAAACCAAGAAGUUCAAAAUUUUAAAACAAAGAAGUUCAAAAAACUCGAUUUUCCUCAUUACUAAAGAAUAAAACUAAGAAGUUCAAAUUAAAAUAACAAAGAAGUUCGAAGUAUAUAAAAAACUCAUUUUUUUCCCAUUAUUAAAGAAUAAAUGAAGAAGUUCAAAUUUAAAAUAGGAACAACAAAAAAAGUUCAAGUGCUCUGUCCGGAGAAGUUCAAAAAUUCUUGCGAGAGAGGUUCACCUUGUAUUUCCAUGUUCGAUUUUUUUCGUAUAAAAAUCGAAUACAAUUCUUUACUCAAAGUAUAAAAAGGUGAAGUUCAAAUUGAAAUAACAGAGAAGUUUGGAGUUUAUUAAAACCUAGGAUUUAACUAUUCAAAAAAUAAAAAAACACAACGCCAUUUUUUUACUUUUAAAAACAACUCAUAAACGAAAAAAAUAGUUGCUAGAAGUUCAAGUGCUCGGCGAGGAAAAGUUCAAAAAAAUCUUGUGAGAGAGGUUCACCGUGUAUUUAGAUGUCCAAAAAUACAUAAAAAAUAAGUUGUUUUUUGUGUUUUAAAAUAAUUCUCUCAAACCAGAGAGAAGUUCAAAGUGAUAACAACCGGACGUUCUCGUACUACAUGGGGUGUAUCUCAUAUAAGAAAAAUACAAUAAAGUGAAACAGAGUGAUGUUCAAACAGACAUGCCCCGAAAGUUCAAUUAUUUCACGCAGUGCAAAAAAUAGCACGUAAAAAACAGAGUGAAGUUCAAACAAACAUGCCUGAGAAGUUCAACUACUUCAUGCCGUGCAUUUCCAUUCGCGAUGAAGCCAGAAAUCAUGAUCUCGUCAUUUUCUAAUUUACUUCAAAACGACAGAAAUAUCAUUUGUAUAAAUUCAAGUCCUCGGUCGGAUAAAGUUAAAAAAUAUAUUUUGAGAGAGGUUUGUACAAAAAGAAUAUCAUUUGUGUAACACUGGCGAAAUGGAUGAGAAAAUUACAAACGAAAAUACACAGACGUUCAACAUGAAAACAGCAGGAAGUUCACCAAGUACACUGAAUGAAUUUUGGAUGAAAAAUUUUUAAAAUCCUCGCGAGUAUGAAAAAUGAUCAACAUGGGAAAGUUGCGUGUUUAUAAUAGUUUUCCACCGGUAUAUCACUUGCUCAAUUCCGGUGAGUGGAUGGAGAGCUAUGAGCAAAAAAAGUACGUGAAAAAAUCAGAGUGAAGUUCAAGUAGACAUACCGAGAAGUUCAAGUUCUUCACGCGGUGCAUUUUCGAAGAAUCUGUUUUCCGAUAAAGGCAGAACGUAUGAUCUCACCGUUUUCGAAAUUACUUGAAAAUGGCUAGGAAUCAGAGAAAACCAUCAAUAUGAAAAAGUUUUGCAUUUUCUGUAGCUUUUCAGCGUUAUAUUAUUUGCCCCAUUCCGAUAAAGUUUGUAGAAAUUACGAUGAAAAUACAGUUCUGGCCAUUUUCAAAAUUGACUGAAAAAUAUAAGAAAUUGGGAGAAACAAUAUAUACAAAAAAAGUUUCGCAUUUCCUCAAGCUUUCCAACGCCAUAUAAUUUGCUGCAUUCGGACGUACGGUUACAAACUUAGCUCGAAAAUACGAACUCGGUGGAACUUGUAUCAUUUUCUAAAUUACUUUUAAACUGUUCAAAAUUAGAAAAACCUUUUAACAUGAACAAGUAGCGCAUUUUCAUAAGCUUUCGAACGCAAUAUCAUUUGCCUCAAUUGGAUUAACCUUUUGGAAAUGACAUCGAAAAUAUGAACUCGGCUGUUCAGUUUGCGAAAUUUUACGAUUUUCUAAAUUACUCUUUUACCAUAGUGAAUUAGAGAAAACUUUCAACAUGUGUAUGGAGCAGUUUUACAGCAACUUUCCAAGGCCAUAUUAUUUGCCUCAUUCUGAUAAACUUUUUAGAAAUGUGAUAAAAAAUACAUUAACAUUUUUUGUAUGAAGAAAAAACGGUUUUCGACACUGCUCUUAAACCGCUUACAUUUUGCAAAAAAUUAACUUGGGUCAUAAUACUGGUGUCCAUUGCUUUCCAAAGGUAUAUCGCAAGCCCCAUUUGGGCAAUGUUGGCGGAAGUUCAACCUAGCACUGGGAGAAGUUCAGGUCGAACAACUCAGGCAGUAAAAUUGCCAAAAACGCAAUUUCAUCCCGACCCGAGAGCAAAAUCCGCCAUUGAGCGAGAUUCCUAUUUAAAACGGGUAUUUAGUUGCUAAAAACGUUUCCAGAUUACACUAACAUCAUAUAGAACACGACUAACUAGAAUAAUUCACGCAGGGAGGCACGGUCGCGAAGAUAGCCCGAAGGUCGGGUUUCUACAAAGGGAAGUUCAGGCGUGUAACUCAGGAAAUUCAUGUUGUGAUCAGAAUAAUAUUCUGAUCCCGUGAUCAGAAUAGUGUUUAUAUAUAUAUAUAUAUAUAUAUAUAUAUAUAUAUAUAUAUAUAUAUAUAGAGAGAGAGAGAGAGAGAGAGAGAGAGAGAGUAGCACUAUUCGGAUCUUAGGAUCACAAUAAUAUUCAGAUUACCGCGCGCCCUAUAUAGGGCCUGAUGGACUUGUUCCCGAACUCCUCCGAAAGCCACCAGCCGUUGGGAUCCUACCGCUGCACUCCGCGCGCAGCCGGCUGCCGGGUUCCGACGCUCCGCCCAGCACGCUGCCAGCCGUUGUUUCAUGCUCGUCGAUACCCAGCUGUUGCCCGCCGCCGCCUGCAUCCCCAGGCGUUGCCUUCCUCGCACCGUUCCCUAUCUCACCACCGUUUGCCCCGAUUCACCCGCCGGCCUCCGCCACGUCGCCGGGACCAGGUAACCGACCGCCGUGCCUCCAAGGCCAAAGAAUAUGGUCAUUGUCCCACCUUCCUAGUUCCUACCCCAUGCGGUGUCCCUCCUUCCUCCCCCGACCGCACCCGCCUUCAAUGCCAAAAAAUACAGUUACCGUCCCACCUUCCUACCCUGUCUGCGGACCCACCUUCCUCCUCAGGCUGGGUGUCGGUGCCCCACCUUCCUCCAUCGCCUGCAUUUCCCGUAGAAAGAGGUUGCCAUGUGGCGAGUGGCUGCCACUUAAUCACUCUGCGGCUUGACACCACAAUGAUUGACGACAUGGGUCGAGGUGGAGUGGUUGGGUGAGGUGGUUUUGCCUCCGUGAGUCCCGGCAGGCCCUGCCGGGACGUCUUGGAUGUUUUCUUCCGAGGGCGACCCUGCCCUCACCGAGCUCGUCUGCCCGGCAAGGGAGGCUUUUCUCCUGGUGGUUCUUGCUUUUCUGACUUGAUCUUGCUCCUGUUGAUCUGCAUGUUGAUCCUUGGAAGAUCUCAGUCUCAUGUAAUCUGGUAUGGCCCGGUGCCGUAAUUUCGCUCCCGUGCAUGUGCAUAGUCUGGGAAACAGACACAGCGUUUGUUGCACCGACAAAAGCCCCCAAGCCUGCCCUGAUCGCGCUGCUGAGCAUCGUCGGGGUAGGCCCUAAUAACUGCACAUGCGGGGGGCGCUGAAGAGGCUAGUUUCUUGAGGUAUUCUUCGCUCCAUCAUUAAUCUUAAGCCCGGGCCAGUUUCCGAUUUCUCCGCACGUCAUAUGUGACGUUACGAAGAAACUCAAAUCGUGGUCCGUCGGGCCCGGGCCAGGUCCACCAUCAUCUUUCAUCCAUGAUUUAUUGUUUGUCGAAGAAACAAAACUAAGUUGAGGUAUUGCUUUCUCAUAUGUGAAUGAGAUGCCAUGUAAAAAAGUAUAGUAGAAGAGAAAUUGCUUUGUUGUUGUGCUUGCACAACUAUGUAAUUUUUUUUUGUUUUUGCGAAGGUGAAAAUGUUGUGUUUGAGAAGGUCAAAGUAUGUUGAGUACAUAUUGUCAUUUUUGCAACCACCGGAGGCAAACAAUUGUAAAUUUUAGUAUGAAUGUGACUCGAAGUUCUUUGGAAAAUCAGUAAUAAAAAAUCUGGAUGUCCAGAAUGUACUAAGGGAUGUAAGCUAGGGUGUUGAUUUUCUGUAGAUUUUGCACGGGACUGUAACUUUGUAUAAUUUGCAGCACCCUCUGAUAGGUGGAAACUUGUUUUUUCCUUGUGAUAUUACCACUUCAAAGUCGUGGAGAAAGCUCUCCUUCUCCUGUUGUUGUACUGCGAACAAUAUAUACACAAAAAGGAUAUAAUGCAUACACAUAAAAGUUCUGGAUGCUUAAAAAAGAUGUUGAAGUUCAUUUACCAAACUUCAUUUUAGUCCAUUAUGUAAUAGGACACAAAAUAGUUGGUACAAAAAAGAUAAGACAUUUAAAAAAAUUGGGUGAAAGGGGAGAGAGGGUUAGAGCAAAAAAUUGGUAACAAAAGCUUCACCCAUAAAAAUUGUUAAAUUUAGAAGUUCAAAUUCAAUAAAGCUGAGAGUUCAGGAAUAAUAAUAAAAGCAAAAAGGUGACACACAGAUGUUUGUACAGAUUCCCCCCAUGGAUUUCCUCGUUACUAAUAAUAAAUAAAACGUCUAGAUAUCCCUUGUUUGCAACGACCCGAGUAAAUAAUUAUUUUUCAUUUUUUCUUGAAGUUCAAAUUGGUGAACCCAGGCCGUUCAAUGUUGCGAACCCAGGCCAUUCAAGUCCCCUGAUCUCCCUCGUUUCCAAAAAAGGAUUUUCCCCAUUUUAUAUUUGAAGUUAUAAAAAAGGAUGUUCCCCGUUUCUAAAAAAACUAGAAGGUCAAACUAAAAUAAGGGAGUGGUUCAAUGUUUUUCAUUUAUUAGAAAAAUAAAACAAGAAGUCCAAAUUAAAAGAUGGAGCAAUUUAAUGUUUAUAAAAAAACUCAGAUUUUCGUCGUUACUAAAGAAUAAAACCAAGAAGUUCAAUACUAGAGAAUAAAGCCAUGAAGUUCAAAAUUUUAAAACGAAGUAGUUUAACCUAUAUAAAAAACUUAGAUUUUCCUUGUCAAUAAAGAAGAAAACCAAGAAGUUCAAUUGAAAAAAGCGGAGCAGUUCGAAAAUUAUUACAAAACUCAAAUUUUCCCGUACAUAAGAAAAGGAAACAGGGUGAAGUUCAAACAAACAUGCCCCAGAAGUUCAACUUCUUCACGCGGAGCAUUUUGAAAACUCUGUUUUUGCGAUGAAGACAUCACACAUGAUCUCGCCGUUUUAAAAAAUUCUUCACAACGACUUGGAAUUAUAGCAAACUCUCUACAUGCAAAAGUUUCACAUUUUUUAUAGCUUUCCAAUGCUAUAUCAUUUGCCCCAUUCUGAAAAGUUAUUGAAAUAUGACGAGAAAAAAGUAGUUUUGACCAUUUUCAAAAUUGACUUCAAAACAUUUAAAACUCAAAUUCUUUUCGUAUCUAAGAAAAAUACAAGUAUGAAGUUCAAUUUUAAAAAUAAAUGUUUGAUGCUUAUUUAAAACCGUAUUUCUUCUAAGCAGUUCAAAUUAUAAUAAUAGAGAAGUUCAAAGGCUAUAAAAACUCAGAUUGUCUCUCGUUACUAAAGAAUAAAAUGAACAAGUUCAAAAUAAAAUAAAAAUGAGCAACUAAAAAAUUUAAAACAUAUUUCCCCCUUUUUAAAAAACUAGAAGUUGAAACUAAAAUAACGAAGUGGUUCAAUGUUUUUGAAAAACUAGGAUUUUAUGAUUAUUUAAAAACUUAUGUAUCCCUUGUUAUUAUAGAAUGGACCAUGAAGUUCAAAACGAAAAAAUAGGCAAAUUUGAUGUUUAUCUAAAAAAAAAUUCUUUACUCAAAAAUACUAAAAAGGUGAAGUUCAAAUUAGAAUGACACAGGAGUUCAAAGUUUAUUAAAACCUAGUAUUUAUGAGUUCAAAACACUAAAAAAAUCAACGCCAUUUUGGGCAUUUUUAAAGACAACUCAUAAACGGUGAUUCAAUUUUGAAAUUACUCUCUAAAUGCCAAAGUUUAUCCUAUUCAAACUCUCUCCAACAGGAUAUCAUAUGAUCUAUUCCAUUAAAUUGUUUAAAAUUUUGGUCUAUAGUGUUCGAAAAAAUAAGUUUUAACAUACUCAAAAAAAGAUCCUAAAAAUGUCAUGAAUUAGAAAAAUUGCUCAACACGUAAAGUUGCGCCUUUUCGAUGGCUUUCUAAUGGUAUAUAUUUUUCUCAGUUUCGAUGAAUGUUUUAGGAAUUAUGGUUAAAAAAGCAAAGAGAAGUUAAAAGUGAAAGCAACCAGUGAUUCAAUUAGUACAUGGAGUGUGUUUCAUAUAAGAAAAAAAGAAUAAAAAGACUUUAGCUAGAAGUUCUCGUGGUCGGCCGACGAAGUUCAAAAAUUCUUGUAAAGGAGGUUCACUCUGUAUGUAUUUACUUGCACAAAAACACAAAUAAAUGUUGUUUUUUGUGUUUUCAAACAAUUUUCUCCAUCCAUUACAAAUUUGAAACAAAAAAGCUCGACACAAAAAAUGUUCUUUCUAUUCAACAAAUUUCCAAGGGCAUAUUAUAUUCUUAUUCCAAAAUAAAUGAUUAAAAAUGGUCUAUGUUGUUCGAAAAAUAAGUUUAACCGUAUGAAAAAAAGUUGCGUCUUUUCAACAAAAAUACGUUACCAAAGUUCAAUGUGAAAACGGCGAGCAGUUCAACUACUAUACGGAAUGGGUUUUAGAUGAGAAUAAAAGAAUACAAAACUAAAUGCUUUAAACAUUUUUUGCAAGAAGUUCACGUGCUCCACCCUGCACGGUUCAAUAAUUAUAUUAGAAGAUGUCCGAACUUCAAUUACAUGUAAAAAAAAAGGCAAAAACAACAUUAUUUUUGCCAUUUUUAAAACUACUCUCAAAUGGCAACGAAUUUGUAACAUCUGUCUGCAUGAAAAUUUUGUUCCUAUUCAUAAGCUCUCCAACGGUAUAUUAUAUGCUACAUUCUGAUGAACGGUUUAAAAGUUUCAUGUAUACCAUUAAAAAUAUCUUACAAACCGUUGCGAGUAUGAAAAAAUGGCCGAACACGGGAAAGUUGCGUGCUUUCAACAACUUUCCAUCGGUGUAUUAUUUUUCCAAUUCCGGGUAAGUGGUUGGGGAGUUACAUGCAAAAACCAGCACGUCAAGAAUAGAGUGAAGUUCAGACACACAUGCCUCAGAAGUUCAACUUCUUCACGCAGUGCAUUUUCGAAGACUCAGUUUUUGCGAUGAAGGCAGAACGCAUGAUCUCGUCGUUUUCAAAAUUACGUAAAAACAGCUAGGAAUCAGAGAAAACUUUGUGUAUGGAAAAGUUUCGCAUUUUAUAUAGCUAUCCAGUGGUAUAUUAUUUGCCCCAUUCCGACAAAGUUUGCGAAACUUAUGGGCAAUUUUUUUUUACCAUUUUCAAAAUUCACUUAAAACCGUAAAUAAUUGGGAGAAACAUUAUAUACAAAAAGUUUCGCAUUUGUUCAGGCUUUCCAAUGUCGUAUCAUUUGUUGUAUUUCGACUAACCAUUUAGGGAAAAACCCAAAAAUACAAACUCGGAGGAGCUUCGAUCGUUUUCUAAAUUACUUUUAAACCGUUCAAAAUUAGAAAAAUUAUUCUACAUGAAAAAGAUGCGCAUUUUCAUAAGCUUUCCAACAUCAUAUCCUUUGCAUCAAUACGACUUGCCAUUUUCAAAUUACGCCAAAAUACGAGCUCAGCUGUUCGGUUUGAGAAGUUCUGCCAUUUUUCAAACUGCUCUCUAACUAUUGUGAAUUUGGGAAAAAUUUAUAUAUGUCGAGUGAGCAGAUUUGCAGCACCUUUGCAAUGCCACAUUAUUUGCCUCAUUCCGAUAAACGUUUUAGAAAUGGUCUCGAAAAUAGGAUUCAUGUUUUUUUGUAUGAUAUGAAGAAAAAUGGUUUGUAAAACUGCUCUUAAUCCGUGUAGAUUUUGACAUAAGUUUAACUUAGGUUGUGAUCCAUGUGUCGACAACUUUCCAACGGUAUAUUGCAAGACCCAUUUUGACAAUGUUCGCGAAAGUUCAAACUCUCCUUGGAUGAAGUUCAACUACUACUACUACGACAUGUCGGUUAGUUAUUAGUGUGUG
rnacentral:lncRNA from 1 species